UACGAAGGGGGCUAGCGUUGCUCGGGAAUCACUGGGCGUAAAGGGCGCGUAGGCGGCGUUUUAAGUCGGGGGUGAAAGCCUGUGGCUCAACCACAGAAUGGCCUUCGAUACUGGGACGCUUGAGUAUGGUAGAGGUUGGUAGGAACUGCGAGUGUAGAGGUGAAAAUUCGUCAGAUAUUCGGCAAGAACACCGUGGCGAAGGCGGCCAACUGGACCAUUACUGGACGCUGAGGCGGCGAAAAGCGUGGGGAGCAAACAGG
rnacentral:rRNA from 1 species